rnacentral:rRNA from 1 species
UACGGAGGGUGCAAGCGUUGUCCGGAUUUAUUGGGUUUAAAGGGUGCGUAGGUGGCCUUAUAAGUCAGCGGUGAAAGUCUGGAGCUUAACUGUAGAACUGCCAUUGAUACUGUAAGGCUUGAGUACUGAUGAGGUAGGCGGAAUUGAUAGUGUAGCGGUGAAAUGCAUAGAUAUUAUCAAGAACACCGAUUGCGAAGGCAGCUUACUAAGGAGUUACUGACACUGAGGCACGAAAGCGUGGGGAUCAAACAGG